rnacentral:lncRNA from 1 species
ACAUUUGAACUUCACAUUGAACCGAUAAAUUACAGAUAACCGGAAGCUGGUUUGAUUUUGGUUAAGUUGUGUGUGUGUAUUUUUUUUUUUUGGGUACAUAACAAAACAGAGUACCAAGUUUAUUUAAAAAUGAUGAAAACAAACAUAACGAAUCAAAAGCAUACUUAAUCGUAUUUUUUGUAGUCUAAACAAAAACAAAUUUAAAAAAUUUCAGACAAAAUGCAUAAAUAUCAUUACGAAAAUUGGUUCAACAACAUCGUAAAGCACUUGUUGUCCCAGAAAACAUAUAAUAAAAUCACAUAUGUGGAACAUAUAGAACCUCAGGUGCAUUAUCCCAUUGGCUGUGGUUUUAGUCUCCUCUUUAGAAACUUUUUUUUUUUCUUUUUUUGCGAAAUAUUAUUAUUCCUUUAGAAACUUCAUACGAAAGAAAAUAACAUUGUCGUUACUUAAACCCGGUUGUUGCAUAAGAAAUUACAUCAAUGUUGCGAGAUAGAAACAACAAGACGUUCGACGUGACACUAAUAUUUUCUUCGAGUGUUAAAGAUUCAGUUGUCUCUUACCCUAAAA